rnacentral:SRP_RNA from 11 species
GCAGCAUGCGGCUGCCCGUGCCGGUCUUGCAGCUGUCGAGCAGCGAGAACAGCGUGGGGCUGGCUUCGCCGCGCAGCGUCUGCACCAGCUCCAGGUUGCG